GCUUGACCUGACUGCACAUCUUGCCUCAGCAUUAGUGAACACUGUGGAGGAAUCAUUACGUUACUGAUCACUGAGUGUGAAUUCGAGGAAGAACUUAAGCAGCCAAGUUACACUACAAGAUACCUGGACACCUGGACACAAACACUUUCCUAAAGCUGAUCUGCUACAGAGAAAAUUACUGUUACUAUAUGAAUCUGAAGCAGCUGCAAUGGGAAGAAAAAUGUUGAAAACGCAGCAUGCAAAACUCAUCAAGUAUGGUCGGGUUCAUCCAUAUGAAAGGCCAUUAGCAAACAUGUGGCAACUUUCCUUCAUCUAAGAGGAAGCCUUGGGAGGUCCAAGACAUGGCAGGGCAGGACAGAAGAUCAGUCAUCAUGGUCAAAAUGUUCUGCUGCUUUGUAAAAAAGAUAGAAUUUGCCCCAGGUGCACAACUGCAUUUCCUAAGCUUUUAUGACGCCACUGAGUGUAUUUCCCUAAUCAUAUUUAAAAAUCAUGCCCGUGUGUUCUCUGUUCAGGAGGUUAGAGCUGAAUUUUCUUUCAAUGAACAAGAAUUUCAGUGGAU
ensembl:lncRNA